CUGCUUGCAUUCGGCCAGGCCACAGCUUAUUGUGAGGAUGCCGCAGGAUUUUCCCGCGGCUAUGGCGAUAAACGGUGUGUGGAAUAGGCGUAGUGGACCCGGGGGCGGUACCCGGCGUCUCCACCAGUAUCCGGGUUGCAUGACCCGGACCGCAGGGGACGAAACAGGCUCGACACGCGCAGUAAAGACACUUCUUUUGCCCGGCAUUGUACCACCGUCAUCGGGCUAAUUUCACAAGUGCCAAUGAUAACUCUGAGGUGCUCGCUGUCGCUGCAUAAGCGAUAAGCGCGGUUCGGGAGGGCACCGGGCAACAGAAGCCCUCCCACC
rnacentral:tmRNA from 1 species